rnacentral:lncRNA from 1 species
UUUUUUUCUUAUUUCUUUCUUUUUUUUCACAAAUUUCCUUUCACUUCUUAUUUGCGUUUUUAAAUUCUCAUACUUUUUUUUUUUUGCACUUUCUCCUUUGGUUUUCAUUUUUAUUUUGAAUUAACUUUUCUCUUUUUUAAUUUUUUGCCUUUGACUUUUUAUAUUGUUUUCUCAUUAUGUCUUAUAUGUUUUUCAAUUUUUUGUAUUUUUUGAACUUUUUUUUUUAUUUUGUCAUUCCAUUUCAUUUUUGAAGUUUUUAUUCAAUUUUUGUCUUUUUUAUUUUCUUACUUUUUAUAUUUUUAUUGUAUUUUUGUUCAUCUUUUAUUUUGGUUUAUUUUUUUAUUUUAUCAUUGUUGGUUAUUUUCUAUUGCAUUUUUAUAAUUUUCUUUAACUUUUCUCCUUCAAUUUUCUUCUUUUUUACUUAUUUUUUCAUGUGCUUUCAUAUUUUUUUUUGUUUAUUCACUUUUUUCUUUUUGUUUUAUUUCAUAAUUUUGACUCUUCAUUUUUUAUUUUUUUCUUGUUUUAACUUUUUUUUUUUGCACUUCCUUGUCUUGUUUUUAUUUUUAUUUUGUAUUAACUUUUUCCCUUUGUUAAUUUUUUUAUCUUUGAUUUUUUUAUUUUUUUCUUAUUACUUUUUUUGCUUAUGUUUUCUAAAUUAAUUUUUUCUAUUUUGUAAUCCCUUUUCAUUUUUUAUCUCCUUUUAAUUUUUUAUCUUUCAUUUUUUAUACCUUUAUUUCUUAUUGUUUGUUAUAUUUUUUUUAUUUUUUGUUCGUAUUUUAUAAACUAAUUUUUUUUUACAAUUUUAAAACCUCUAACUUCUUUUUUUGUGCACUUCCUUUUGUUUUUAUUUCUUUUUUUGUUAACUUUUAUUUUAUUUUUUAUCUUUGAUUUUUUAUAUCUUUUUCUUGUAUUUGUUUUUUUUUUCUUUAAACUAAAAGUUUUUUCUGUUUUAUAUUUCAAAUUUCU